UGGAUUGUGAAUCGUUGCCUUCAGUGCUGGCCCCGGCAAGUGCACGUUGGUGACUUUCAUCCAAUACCCUUGUGAACCUCUGGCCUCUUGCUAGCUUCGGCUGGCAGAGGAUUUUUACACACACUCGAAUGUAAUGAAACCUAUUGUCGUGCGCAAGCACUAAUGUA
rnacentral:misc_RNA from 1 species